CCCAAUCGUUUGAAGGUCCUUUGCAGGUCUAUGAUAGAUAAGAAUUAUUGUUUGAUCGAUCAUCGUUUUUUUAAAAUGAAUUUUUCAAAAAAAUGAAUUAUUUCUACGGAAGUUAUCAUUUUUUUUUUAAUUUAGCCCUAGAAUGUUGAAUGACCGCUCAAACGAUCGAGAAUCGUUUGCAAGUGAUUGAUAGAUGAUCAUCAAUCCCCUACAGAAUACUAAUUAUGAAUUAUUGAUAAAAAAUCAUUUUGAGGUUACUGAGCUCAGCGGCGGCGGAGUAGGGAGGUCGCCAUAUUGUAUCCAACAGCUGACAGUUUGCAUUUUGGAGCAUGGCGAAAAACUACUCCGAAACAACAGAUUCAUUUUAUUAUCCAAAAUGUAAGUCAUAAUUAACCGAUUGAAUGUAGUGAAUCCUAUGAAUGAAGUGAAGGGAUCAGCCAAUAAAACGUCAACUUGGCGAAAUUUUUUCACAAAAGUUUUUUUGUGUUGGAUUUACAGCCCAACGAGCGCAAAGUAGUUUCACUUCAAAAAUUAAUAAUAAUAAUCUUGGAGCCUCCUUGUAUAGAAUAAGCAUCAUUUGUCCCAAAUGUCUCUCCAGUGCACAAUCACAGGAUUUUGAUCGUAUUUUAUGGAACUGCCCGAAGUAUCAUGAACAGAGAAGAAAAUUGAAUAAAAAACUGAGAACCAAGAACUGUUCUUCUCUUUACACCACAACAAAAUUCACGAACACUAAAGACUACAACUAUAUCGAACAAAUGUAUAAUUAUGUUAAAGAGUCAAUCUAAAAGUAUAACAUUACAGAGUAAAGACACUUUAAAAUAACAAGAUUGAUGUGUCAAAAAAAUGUAAAGUUGAAAUUAUAAGAAAGUGAGACAAUGAUCGCUGUUCAAAAUGGUCACUUAGCCGAUACACUCCCGUGUAUGGUGAUACAACUAUGCUUCGUACAUUCCGUCGAUGUGCCUCAGUACGUUCUGAUGACCAAAUCAUAAAAAUCAAAGGAACAACGAUAUUAAUAACCUUUGACUAGAAGUAUUCAUGGCCGUGACAUGUAGUUUUAUUUCUAUGCUUGAUUCUUCCAAUUUGAACAGAAUUUUCAAUCGUUCAUUUUUCGAAUCCAAAAUUACUAACAAUAACACCAAUAGGAAGUUCUUAUAUAGUGAAUGUAUUGAAACUUGAAACAUUUUAUUUUCGUCAAGUUACAAAAAUCAUUGGAACAAAUAAAAAAUCAUAUGAUUAACAUUUCCAAUCGCGAAAAAACUACCAAUUCAUGUUUAGUACAAUGGUUCUGGAAAUCUUUGCAAUCUUUCACCGGAAUAUUAAAUUUUUCAUUCAUUUCAAUCAACUGAAAAAUUAUUCAUGAAGAGAAUUGGCAUUUCAUUUUGGUGUUUAUAGAAAAAUUUCAAGUACAUCAAUGCUGCGGUAUAUCAAUCAAGCACAUAGUUAAUCCCCCUCUUCUUAUUAUAUGUUAGUUAAUCCAUUUUAUAUUUCUUUUUUGAUUUUUUUAAAUAAUCGUUCAAAUAACUUAAGAAAGCUGUACAAAACGGAAAAAUAAGAAGACGAGAGAAUUUUUUCAUUUUUCGUGGCGUUUGGAAUGUCUCCAAUACUUAAAACCCAAUUUUUUCAAUGAAUUUUCUGAUGUUAUAGUCAAGUGAUGAGCUUCAGAUGAGAGUAUCCUAAGUAUUUUUUGCAUAGCUUCUAAGGGAAGAUUUUCAAGAGGAAAUACCGCAGAAGUUUUUUGCUAACAAAUCAGUUGUUCACAAAAAAAGUUCUCAUAAAUUUUGUUCUUAAAUCACUUAUGAGGAAAAUAAUUACCUAGUUAACAAAACGGUCCUGCCACUCAUCGACUCAACACCACAUUUGUUAAUCACGUAAUUAUGUCGAUAAUGAUUCGAUUUAGAAAGAAAUGUCACAAGAUAGUUUUCAGGGACUUAAUUGUCUAAAAAAAAAUCUUUUGGCAUUCGUUUGAAAGCUUUGGAGA